GUGCUGGUGGAAGGGCCCAGAAAUCUGACUGGCUUGGGACCAGUCUUACAAUUCACACCUUCGUCUUCCUCUUCGUUGAACGCCAUCAGUCUCCUGUGAAUACAGAAGCAUGUUACGGUCAGCAUUUACAGGAAAUAUCCAGAACAGGCAAAUGCAUUGAGACAGAAAACAGAUUGGUGGUUGCCAGAGGCUGAAGACAGAAGAGACCAGGGAGUAACUGCUUACAGAUGGAUGAAUUGAUGGAAGGAUAAAUAUAUUUUAGCAGUUUUCUUCACAAAAGACAUCACCAAAGUAUUUCUUGAUAGAGUCCCUAGAGCAGUGCUCUCUGCACCUACGACAUCUGAGAUAAAUAUGUGUUGGCUGACAUAGUGAAUGUGCACAUGCUGUGUCCUUUUUGCAUAUAAAACAGAAAUAAAAGACUAUAGAGUUGAGACUUCAGAAGAGGAAUGUUAACCCACCCCAACUUUCCAGUCAGGUGUUUUAGCCCCAUUCUGCAGACGUGGCAAACAGCACCAAAUAACUGACGACUCAUUUCUAAAUAACUUCCCUUGGCAGAACUCAUACAACCGUGCAAAUUCCUGAAGGGGAUCUGGGACCAAAUCAACUUUC